UACAGAGGUCUCAAGCGUUGUUCGGAUUCAUUGGGCGUAAAGGGUGCGUAGGUGGCGAGGUAAGUCGGAUGUGAAAUCUCAGGGCUCAACCCUGAAACUGCAUUCGAUACUGCCUUGCUCGAGGACUGGAGAGGAGAUUGGAAUUCACGGUGUAGCAGUGAAAUGCGUAGAUAUCGUGAGGAAGACCAGUGGCGAAGGCGACUUCCUGGCCUGUUCUUGACGCUGAGGCGCGAAAGCUAGGGGAGCAAACGGG
rnacentral:rRNA from 1 species